GUCGUCUUUGGAAAUUAUUACAAAGUUCAGCUGGAAGUCUCCUUCUCCCUGUGGACCUUCCCCAAUUCCACUGGCUGCCCUCCUCAAGGACCCCUGUGAGAUAAAUUCAGAAAUGGCUAUCCUUGGCUUCCCUGGGGAACAAGAGUGCCUGCAGUUCUUUUCCCACUUCUUUUACUUUUCUAUUUCACUGGGCUCUCUAAAUUCAUUUCAGCUCUAGGGAUUUGGAAAGGAUUCCGUGAUGGUUAAUAUUGAGUGUCAACUUGAUUGGAUUGAAGGAUGCAAAGUAUUGUUCCUGGGUGUGUCUGUGAGGGUGUCACCAAAGGAGAUGAACAUUUGAAUCAGUGAGCUGGGAGACACAAACCCAUACUCAAUCUUGGGGGACACCAUCUAAUCAGCUGCCAGUGCAACUAGGAUAAAAUCAGGCAGAGAAAUUUGGAAAGACUAGACUGGCUGAGUCUUCUGGCCUUCAUCUUUCUCCCAUGCUAGAUGCUUCCUGACCUCGAAUAUCAGACUCCAAGUUCUUUAGCUUUUGGACUCUUGGACCUUUGGCCACAGACGGAAGGCUGCACUUUUGAAGUUUUGGGACUUGGACUGGCUUCCUUGCUCCUCAGCUUACAGAUGGCCUAUUGUGGGACUUCACCUUGUGAUUGUGAUUUCAAACCUUCUGGGUUUCUUCCCAGCGCUAAAUCCUGUCGACUGGAUUCACUAGGAUGAAUAGAGAAAGAAGUGUUACAUUUUAAGAUAAUUUCUUUUCUAAACACACAGAAAGCAUCCUCAAGACACAAGGCAGAUGCCACGUUCCAGUAUGUUUUAUGGCACAAAAAGUUUUGAAACCAAUGGAGAGAUCAACACAAGCUUUGGAGAGGAGAUCAAAAUAUCUGCUUCACUGGAAGGAGUUUUGGAUUGCUCAACAAGGUUCAGAUCUGUGGCAUAAUCAGGCUUCCUAAUCCUGAACCAAAGUUGUUGUUGUAUCUCGUAGUUGUCACCUGAGAGCUGACUGACCUGUUUCAAGCAUAUGUGAGAUGCCUUCUGGAAAUGCCCGGAAGCAUAUAGCUAAUGGGAUGAGGCAUUUCAAGGUUGAACUUCAGCAAGAGCAAGUGGGAUAAAGGGCAAAAAGCAGCACAUUCCUUUCAAAAUGUCCCCAUUUUAAACUGCAGGCUAGAGUAGACAAUGGAAAUAUAUGACAUAUAAAGAAACUGGUGAGAUUAUUAAGCAGAGGGCCUUCUGGGGAGCAUUAAAGAGUGAGCAAGAAAAAUUUCUCAGACAUGGUGAUUCUAGAAUUGAAAAAUCAUAGACUCUUUCUCUUCUCUCUCCUUUGAGAGUUUCCAGAUGAAUUCUUGGAUCUGGCUACUGAGCAAAUAUAUGAAUAAUAACCUAGGAUCAGCUGGGUAUAAGAGGUUUCCACCAGAAGUCCAUGAAAACCAAUGUUUUUAAGCAUCUAUUGGGCAACUACCAUAAACAAUCAGCAAGAUGUUUAAACAGUUGAUUCUGCCGGCGGCCCAACCAGUUUUUAACUGUAUCACGAAAACUGGCCUGGGGGUACAGUCUGAGAUUAUUCCAGCCCUGCUUUUACACCGCCAGAAAUUCCCUUUCUGUUACAAAUUUCUACCCCAGAGAGGUUUGCAUAUUCUUGGCAUUUUCACUGUGCAUCAGUGAAUCAGCUAGCCUACGGGCCAAGGAGAGGGGAAAAAAAUCCCAAAUAAAACUCAACCCAGUUAGGAUGUCUUCAUCUAUUUUUCAGUGGGAAAAAAUACAGCUGGACUCAGUGACUUCAGUCAAAAGCAAACAUUACUAGUUGCUUCAUUUUUCUAAUUUUUAUUUUUGACUCUCAAGUUUUGGAGGGCAUAAUAAAGACAUAGCCUCAGCAAAGUCACUUAGAAGAUUGAGUUCGUUAUUUUGCAAAGCUUGGGUAGUGACACUUCUGCAAAAUGCACAAGCACAUGAGCAGAGAGAUGUGUGAAUUCAGGAAAGCAGCCAAAUGCACAUCAGAGCUGAGGAAUGUCACAGCGAAAUGAAGAAAACUUGUAAACACCUAUCUGUAUUUUUAGGUAGAGAAUGUUCUAACAUAUUGCCAAUGGGUGCUGCCUGUGUGUUCCUUCCCCUAAGCUUUAAACUCAACUGAUAUUAAAGGUGAUUUGAAAACAA
ensembl:lncRNA LINC00989 long intergenic non-protein coding RNA 989